UGGGGAUACAGCUCAGCUGGUACAGUGCUUGCCUCACAUGCAUAAGGCCCUGGGUUCAAUCCCCAAAACCACAA
rnacentral:tRNA from 1 species